GGGACCGUGGGGUAGCUUGGUAUCCUUGCCCGCUGGGGGCGGGUUAACCCCGAUUCAAAUUCGGGCGGUCCCA
rnacentral:tRNA from 1 species